CAAAAACCGAUCUGUUUAAUCUGGAAGUAAUUUUCUUGUGGUAAAGUUCUCCUUUUCGUAGUCUAAGCUAAACAACGAUUCUCAGCAAAAUCACCAGCGAGACCGGGUUCUACAUGAUCUCCGAUCUUAAGAGAUCGGAUUGAACCUUUGUUUCUAAUUAAGUCAUCCCUACCCGUUUUUUGGUCAUAGUGGAUUAGUUCGGUCACGAACUGUGUAAAGCCAUAUGCAGCACAUAAGUUGAGCAAGAUGUUCUUUUUAAACGAUUACACUGGAACGAUAAAACAGAACUCGUUUUAGAAUGAUUCCUCAGAUCGGCGAAGAUUUCGAAGUAAACUGGGUAGUGGAAGUAAACUCAAUCGCUUCAAAUGUUUCAACGAAAAUGCCGAAAACUAAAAAUGAAGUAGAGAACGGAUAAAGACGGUGUGGUAUACACAAGGCACAAUUCGCAUCUGGUGGACACCGUCGCCGUGGACGAGGUAUGAUGAAUUAACCUGU